AGACAAAAAUUUUCUUUUCUUUGCUUUGCUUUUUUUUACUUUUUUUUUGGUUCUUUCUUUGUUUCAUUAUUUGUAUGAUGUAUUUUUUCUGUUAACCAUAUGCUAAUCCUAUAUAAUCUAUUUGCGUUAGAGGUAGAAUAUGAGCUUUGGUAAAAGAGUCUCUCUUUCUUUCUUUCUUUUUUUCUGUGUUUCUUUCUUUUAAUUAAAUUUGCAGUGAUAGUUGAGAUUUUUUGCUCUACAUCCGGAUUUGCAUGACUAGUUGGUUAGCGGGAAAAAAGUAUAUUAAGUACUUAUGAUUAUUUAUAGCAUAUUGAUGUGGCAUUUGACAGUUUGGGUUAACUAUUGUUGAGGAGAUGUAAGAAUUCAUUUUUAUUUUCACAGUUAUUUCAUGAUGCAUAUUAUAUAACUUGUAUAUAUUCAUGGAUAUUGCAGUACUCACUUAAAGUGACUGAUGCGUUUUAAAGGUAGAAUCCGUUUUUGAAUAAAACAUUUUUUAUUCGUUUUGUAUGUGACCUAUGUAUUCAUCCUAGGUUAUGCGACCUUUACUGACCGUGACUAAUACGUUAAAGAUAAAAUCUGUUGUUCGAGAAAUUUUUUUUUUCCUUGUUUAUUUGUUUCAUUUAAAUUUGCAAUGACAUAUCCAUUUAGUACUUUAUAAAGUUUUAUGAUCAUUUAUAUCAAAUUGACGUGGUCAGUUAUGCAAUUUAAGGGAUAGAGAGGAUCUUUGCAUGAUCAUUGUCCCGAAGAGAAUUCUUCAUUUUCAUAUCUAUUGAACAAUGCAAUUGUUGUCCAUAUGCUAUAUAAUCUAUGUGUUAUUCAUAGGUUAUGUGACAUUCACUUGUUGCGAGUGAUUCACCGUAGAGGUAGAGUUCGAAUUUUGAUAGAAAACUUUCUUUCUUUCCUUCUUUCUUUCUUCAUUUCCUUUUUUCUUUCAUUUGAAUUUGUAGAAAGACGUGUGUUGUAGGUUCAAAUCCGAGCUUGCAUUGAAAGGGUGGAAAAAGGUCUGUCAUCAAGUUUUAUGAUCACUUGUAACAUAUUGAUGUGUAAUGUUAGACAAUCUAAGAGAUUAGGGGGAUAUUUUCACAAAGGUUAUGUAAGGGAAAGAGUUUCAUAUUGAUGUGCUCUGUUAGCAUAUCAAAGUGGUCUUUUACGCGGGCUAAGAGAAGCGGAUGAUGUUGGCUUAAUUUUUGCCAAGAAGAGGUAAAACAUUCUUUUUGCUCUUCAUGAUUAUUGAAUGAGGCAUUUGUUAUCAUUAUGCUGUUGACUUAUGUAUUUCUCAUAGGUUAUACAACAUCCACAGAUAACGAGUCAUGUGUCAAAGGUAGAAUUUGAGGUUUGAAAGUAAAGUUUUUUUUUUUUUUUCUUCCUUCUUUUCUUUCUUUCUUUCUUUUAUUUAAAUUUGCAGUGACGCGUCCGUUUGGUUGCUCUCAGUCCGAGCUUGCAUUAAAGUGUUCAAGAAUGAAAAACUGCAAUAUGUGCCUCUGGUAGCUUUGAGUCCAAGCUUGUAUGGGAACAUUUAUCAACAAGAAAGAGGUCAUGGGGGAUUCAACAUAGUGAAUGAUGCAUUUUGGUGGUAGAUUCUGAAUUUCAAAGGUAAACUUUCUUUCUUUCAUUCUUUCCAUCAUUCAUUCUUUCAUUAUCUACAUUUGCAGUGAUUCAUUUGCUAGUUCCGAAUCCAAACUGGCAAUGAAGAUUCGCUAAUAAGAAUGAGGUAUAUUAUCAAGUUUUAUAAUCAAUUAUAAUAUAUUUAUUUGCUCUUUUAGGCAGGUCCCGAGAAAGGGAUGAUGUUGGCAUAAUUGUUGUUAAGAAGAAGUAAUGCUUCAUUUUCUCCUUCAUAUGUCACAUAUGCAAUCUAUAUGUCAUGUAACUUAUACAUUCCUCAUAGGUUAUGCAACACUCAUUGACAGCUAUUGAUGCAUUCUAGAGUUAGAAUCGGAGCUUUGAUAAGAAAUUUUGUUUCUUCAUUCUUCCUUUUAUUUUUUUUUUACUUAUUUUCUUUCCUUCUUCAUUUAAAUAUUACAGUAAAAUGUACAUUUAUAAAUCCGAGCUUACUUGGAAAAGUUCACAAGUAGAAAGCGAUGUCUUGUCAAGUUUUAUGAUCAUGUGUAACAUAUUGAAGAUAUCUUUUAGGUGGACUAAGGGAAGUGUUUGAAUAUUAUAAAAGAUUUAUAUACAUAAUAGGUUGAUUAUGUUUCCAAAUGUAUUAGACUAAUGAGGAAAGAAAUUAUUAGAAUAAUUUAUAUUGGUUACCAUAUAUGAUUUUAUUUACAUGUAUAUAUAUUUCUACUUUUAUUUCAAUAAAAUAUAAGAAAUAUUCAGUUUUUUUUUAAAAAAAUUACAUGGUUUCAGAGUUAGGGUUAGGAUUUUUUGAGGACAAAAUAGAUCAUACCACAUAAAGGGUUAGGAUUCUUUUGCUUUCCUAUUUAACUGUACUGUUAGAUUUACUCCUUAUAGUUCGUUGAAGGGCUAGAAGAGUUACCAUUCAAAGUAGGCAUCAGGAUGUCACAUGGUCAAGGCAUUGAACGCCUGGUUUUUGCAGAAAGAAAGGGAUAAAUAUAUUCAUGUUUUUUCCUUCCAUGAAAGGAGGAUUUGGAAAUCGCCUUGAACAGGGAGGAUGGCAGCUAUUGGCGAUUGGAUUCCAGAAAAGAGCAGUCUGUCUCUGAAAUCUUGUUCAGAUGGUAGGGUUGGAGGUGCGGGCAUGAGUUUUCCUGUAACUGCAGAGCUGAAUGGAAAUUUUAUUGGUGGGCUAAGGGAAAUAUAUGAUUUCGGCAUAGUUAGUGUUAAAAAGAGGUUCAAAUCCAAACAUUGAAAAAGUUAUCUCAGAGAAAGAGGUAUGUCAUCAAGUUUUAUGAUCACGUGUAACAUAUUGAUAUGCUAUGUUGCGCAAUCUAAGAGAUGAGGAGGGUGUUUUCAUAGAGGAUGAUAUUUCUCUCCAUAUUAGUUAAAUGACACAAUUGUUUGUCAUAUGUUAUAUACUUUAUGUCUUACUCAUUGGUUAUGCAGGAUUCACUAACAGUGAGAUGUAUUCCUCACAAGUAUGCA